AAAGUCAGUGGGCACGUAUCUGUAAAAUGUACGGUUAAAGGGCUAUUUUGCAUUUUUUGGCGAUUCGCACACAUUGGAAUGUGGCUAACUCCUCCUAGAGCUUUCGUUUAACCGACACCAAAUUUGCUCAGGCCAAUCUACACCCCAUCACUUUUUAUUUUUGUCCUCACUGGCCUCCAAGUUUUCUAGGAUGAUGCAAUGUCCAGCCAUCAACACAUUUGUGAAGGAAUUUUUACUCCUUAAAAGAGCGCCCCCCCAUGGCAGGAGAAAAAAAUCCAUUUUUUCUUGUCCCAUAAGGUGAAAAUACACAUUGUUCAGUGUCACGCCUGUACGCUUUGUCUUAUUGACACAAAAUUUUACAAUCACGUGUAUCUCAAUAAGAUCUACGAAGAAGUCAAUGCGCACGUAUCUGUAAAAUGUACGGUUAAAGGGCUAUUUUGCAUUUUGUGCCGAUUCGCACACAUUGGAAUGCGGCUAACUCCUCCUAAAGCUUUCGUCCCACCGACACCAAAUUUGCUCAGGCCAAUCUACACCCCAUGGCCAUUCAAAGUUGUACAAAUCAUGACGCUGCACCCCACGGUUUAGGUUCUAGGGGGCGCCAAAGAGGACCCAAAUAUCCACAUUUUUAAAAGUCUUAUAACUUUUUAUUUUUGUCCUCACUGGCCUCCAAGUUUUCUAGGAUGAUGCAAUGUCCAGCCAUCAACACAUUUGUGAAGGAAUUUUUACUCCCCAAAAGAGCGCCCCCCCAUGGCAGGAGAAAAAGUCAAGUUUUUCCUGCCCAUCGCUCAAUGGCUCAAACGCAUCGCUCUCUCGGCAAAACCGAAAGGAAGAGCAACUUGCCAUUUGGAUAUAUACUAGCUGUGUUUGUGCCCUCACUCAUGGUCCAGACUUUUUUCAAAAAGGACAUGGAGUUUGUCUGCAGCGAGCGUUUUGGUAGAAACUGUGCCUCCCAUUCAUUAUAAUGGUAAAUGACCACAGACAAGUGCGCACACCAUCUUUGGACCUUGAGUGUGACGCAAUCGGGAGGGGUAGGCUGUCGCGCUGGGGGCGGCGCGACACGGCUCGGGCCCGCCAGUGCCCCACCGGGGCCCUAGUUCUUUCUUUAGGGCCCGAGCGUAGCUGCUAAGCAGCUGCGAGAGCCCUCUUGUUCCUGCAUGUUUCCUUCUUUAGGGCCCGAGCGUAGCUGCUAAGCAGCUGCGAGAGCCCUCUUGUUCCUGAUGGAUUCUUCUUUCGUUAUUUUUCCUCCGCUUUAAACUGGAAAAUGGCCCACUUCCCACUGGCGAAAACUCAGGAAAUUUGGCAGGACGACCGGGCCUGGUGAAAAAUUCGAUAUUCUGAAGUCGCCCAAACAAAAAAAUGAAAAAUGGCUCCAUAGCGCCCCCUAUGGUGAAAACUCACCUGACGCCUGUACGCUUUGUCAAAAUGACACAAAAUUUGACACACAUGUGUAUCUCAAUAAGAUCUACAAAGAAGUCAGUGCGGGCGUAUCUGUCAAAUGUACCGUUAAAGGGCUAUUCCGCAUUUUUUGCCGAUUCGCACACAUUGGAAUUUCGCUAACUCCUCCUAAGGCUUUCGUCCCACUGACACCAAAUUUGCUGAGGCCAAUCUACACCCCAUGGCCAUUAAAAGUUAUUCAAAUCAUGACGCUGCACCCCACGGUUUAGGUUCUAGGGGGCGCCAAAGAUAACCCAAAAAUCCACAUAUUUAAAAGUCUUAUAACUUUUUAUUUUUGUCCUCACUCGCCUCCAAGUUUUCUAAGAUGAUGCAAUGUCCAGCCAUCAACACAUUUGUGAAGGAAUUUUUACUCCCCAAAAGAGCGCCCCCCCAUGGCAGGAGAAAAAAGUCCAUUUUUUCUUGUCCCAUAAGGUGAAAAUACACAUUGUUGAGUGUCACGCCUGUACGCUUUGUCAAAAUGACCCAAAAUUUGACAAUCACGUGUAUCUCAAUAAGAUCUAUGAAAAAGUCAAUGCGCAAAUAUCUGGAAAAUGUACGGUUAAAGGGCUAUUUUGCAUUUUUUGGCGAUUCGCACACAUUGGAAUUUCGCUAAGUCCUCCUAAGGCUUUCGUCCCACUGACACCAAAUUUGCUCAGGCCAAUCUACACCCCAUGGCCAUUAAAAGUUGUACAAAUCAUGACGCUGCACCCCACGGUUUACCUUCUAGGGGGCGCCAAAGAUGACCCAAAUAUCCACAUUCUUAAAAGAAUCCACAUCCCCCCUCCCCCCAUGGCAGGAGAAAAAGUCAAGUUUUUCCUUCCCAUCGCUCAAUGGCUCAAUCGCA
rnacentral:lncRNA from 1 species